rnacentral:ncRNA from 1 species
GUCGGGACCCGAAAGAGGUGAACUAUGCCUGAGGAGGUUGAAGCCAGAGGAAACUCUGGUGGAGGACCGUAGCGAUUCUGACGUGCAAAUCGAUCGUCAAAUUUGGGUAUAGGGGCGAAAGACUAAUCGAACCGUCUAGUAGCUGGUUCCCUUCGAAGUUUCCCUCAGGAUAGCUGGCGCUCUGUCGCAGUUUUAUCUGGUAAAGCGAAUGAUUAGAGGUCUUGGGGGCGAAACGCCCUCAACCUAUUCUCAAACUUUAAAUUGGUAAGAAGCCCGACUCGCUCGUUUGGAGCCGGGCAUGGAAUGCGAGUGCCAAGUGGGCCACUCUUGGUAAGCAGGACUGGCGAUGCGGGAUGAACCGAACGCCGGGUUAAGGCGCCCGACGCGACGCUCAUCAGAGCCCACAAAAGGUGUUGGUUGAUAUAGACAGCAGGACGGUGGCCAUGGAAGUCGGAAACCGCUAAGGAGUGUGUAACAACUCACCUGACGAAUCAAUCAGCCCUGAAAAUGGAUGGCGCUGGAGCGUCGGGCCUAUACCCGGCCGUCGCGGCGGUACGAGCAUCGAGUUGGUGCGCUAGGCCGCGACGAGUAGGAGGGCCGCGGCGGCGGGCGUAGAAGCCUAGGGCGCGAGCCCGGGUGGAGCAGCCGUCGGUGCAGAUCUUGGGUGGUAGUAGCAAAUAUUCAAAUGAGAAC